AAGUCGUAACAAGGGUUCCGUAGGUGAACCUGCGGAAGGAUCAUUACCAAAUCCAAAACUUUAUCAACACCAAACAAGUGAACUGAGAAUGGUUUCGUUCCCCUCUGCAUGUGCAUACAAUGUGUUUCCACAUUCGUGCGUGUGCGAAGGGGGAUGUUUUUUUUUUCAACCCCUUUUCAACCUCUUACAAUCUUUUAUGCUGAAAGCAAAAAAAACGAAACAUGAGACAACUUUUAACGGUGGAUCUCUUGGCUCGU
rnacentral:misc_RNA from 1 species